rnacentral:snRNA from 1 species
AUCGCGUCUUGGCCUUUUGGCUAAGAUCAAGUGUAGUAUCGAAUUUAGAAACACUUGGUUCUAGGUUGCCAAGCGGAAGCUUUAUGAAAGUGGAGGAGCUGUGUUGCCAUAAGGGAGAGCUGCUGGCUUAUUUUAGUCAGGGGCUUUGCACAUGCUCCUUCUGCUUAAUCAUGCU